rnacentral:snoRNA from 1 species
AUUCCGUGAGGAGGGCAUCUUCAUAAUAGUUCUUUAAACCUUUCCAAUGCCUCAUCCAAGGACUUGUCAUCCAUCUGUUGGAAGGUAGUGAUAUCGUUCCUUAACUU